AACGAACGCUGGCGGCAUGCCUAACACAUGCAAGUCGAACGAAGGCUUCGGCCUUAGUGGCGCACGGGUGCGUAACGCGUGGGAAUCUGCCCUUGGGUUCGGAAUAACAGCGGGAAACUGCUGCUAAUACCGGAUGAUGACGUAAGUCCAAAGAUUUAUCGCCCAAGGAUGAGCCCGCGUAGGAUUAGCUAGUUGGUGGGGUAAAGGCCCACCAAGGCGACGAUCCUUAGCUGGUCUGAGAGGAUGAUCAGCCACACUGGGACUGAGGCACGGCCCAGACUCCUACGGGAGGCAGCAGUGGGGAAUAUUGGACAAUGGGCGAAAGCCUGAUCCAGCAAUGCCGCGUGAGUGAUGAAGGCCUUAGGGUUGUAAAGCUCUUUUACCCGGGAUGAUAAUGACAGUACCGGGAGAAUAAGCGCCGGCUAACUCCGUG
rnacentral:rRNA from 1 species